rnacentral:rRNA from 1 species
CCCUUAGAUGUUCGGGGCCGCACGCGCGCUACACUGAAUGAAUCAGCGAGUGUAUGUCCUAGGCCGAAAGGUCCGGGUAACCCGUUGAACCUCAUUCGUGAUUGGGAUAGGGACUUGCAAUUGUUUCCCUUGAACGAGGAAUUCCCAGUAAGCGCAAGUCAUCAGCUUGCAUUGAUUACGUCCCUGCCCUUUGUACACACCGCCCGUCGCUCCUACCGAUUGAGUGGUCCGGUGAGGCUUUGGGAUCUGAGCGGAAAGAGCGUUUCGCUGUUUCUGCUCGGAAAACUCAGUCGAACCUUAUCAUUUAGAGGAAGGAGAAGUCGUAACA